rnacentral:rRNA from 1 species
UGGGGAAUAUUGGACAAUGGGCGAAAGCCUGAUCCAGCCAUGCCGCGUGAGUGACGAAGGCCUUAGGGUUGUAAAGCUCUUUUGGCGGGGAAGAUAAUGACGGUACCCGCAGAAUAAGCUCCGACUAACUUCGUGCCAGCAGCCGCGGUAAUACGAAGGGAGCUAGCGUUGUUCGGAAUCACUGGGCGUAAAGCGCACGUAGGCGGAUUGUUUAGUCAGGGGUGAAAUCCCGGGGCUCAACCUCGGAACUGCCUUUGAUACUGGCAAUCUCGAGUCCGAUAGAGGUGGGUGGAAUUCCUAGUGUAGAGGUGAAAUUCGUAGAUAUUAGGAAGAACACCGGUGGCGAAGGCGGCCCACUGGAUCGGUACUGACGCUGAGGUGCGAAAGCGUGGGGAGCAAACAGGAUUAGAUACCCCUGUAGUCCCUGAGCGGGCUGGCAAGGCG